CUUGCAGAAGCUGUCCCUGCAGCCCCCCUACUAUGAUCUGGGGGUCUCCCCCUCCUACCACCCCUCGGGCUCUGGCCUAAAGGACACUCACAGCCACUAUGCAGAGCUGGACACCUCUGCCCUGGAACUCGUGCCAGGGCUGCGGACCCCCGUGCCAGGGCCUGCAGAGGCUGUGGAAUAUGCCACCAUCCAGUUGAGCCCACCCUAGCUCAUAACCCCUAGCCACCCACCCCUGCUUCUGGACCACAGAACUCCAGGGUGAGAACAGCCACCCCCAGGACCUCCAGAGCUACCCUGACAUCUGGGAAGACCACGACCUGGGGCCAGCUGCCCACCUGCCACCCCAGGACCAUUUCCUCCAGCCUCUUUUCACUGGCCUCCCUGGGCUCUGCUCCUUCCUGUAAGGGCACUUGUGGACAAGACUGUCCCUCUCACACACACACCCUGCCCUUACCUGCUGCCUCCAGGCCAGCCUGGGACAGAAGCCCCAUCCUAUAUCUCGGUUCCCUCCUCCCAGACCUCCAGAGCCCCCAGGCUCCACCUCCCUCCACCCCGAUCACGGGGAUAAACCUGUGGGGUGAACACCUGA
rnacentral:lncRNA from 1 species